CGGGGUGAGUAAUGUCUGGGAAACUGCCUGAUGGAGGGGGAUAACUACUGGAAACGGUAGCUAAUACCGCAUAACGUCGCAAGACCAAGAGGGGGACCUUCGGGCCUCUUGCCAUCGGAUGUGCCCAGAUGGGAUUAGCUAGUAGGUGGGGUAAUGGCUCACCUAGGCGACGAUCCCUAGCUGGUCUGAGAGGAUGACCAGCCACACUGGAACUGAGACACGGUCCAG
rnacentral:rRNA from 1 species